rnacentral:rRNA from 1 species
UACGUAGGGUGCGAGCGUUGUCCGGAUUUAUUGGGCGUAAAGAGCUCGUAGGCGGCUUGUCGCGUCGAAUGUGAAAACUCGGGGCUCAACUCCGAGCUUGCAUUCGAUACGGGCAGGCCAGAGUUCGGUAGGGGAGACUGGAAUUCCUGGUGUAGCGGUGAAAUGCGCAGAUAUCAGGAGGAACACCGGUGGCGAAGGCGGGUCUCUGGGCCGAUACUGACGCUGAGGAGCGAAAGCGUGGGGAGCGAACAGG